rnacentral:rRNA from 1 species
CCCUUAGAUGUUCUGGGCCGCACGCGUGCUACACUGAGUGGAUCAGCGGGUCAGGUUGCGCGAAAGUGUUUCCUAAUCUUGAAAUCCGCUCGUGAUGGGGAUUGACGGUUGCAAUUUUCCGUCAUGAACGAGGAAUACCUUGUAAGCGCGGGUCAUCAUCCCGCGCUGAAUACGUCCCUGCCCUUUGUACACACCGCCCGUCGCGCCUACCGAUUGAGUGGUCCGGUGAGGCUUUGGGAUCUGAGCGGAAAGAGCGUUUCGCUGUUUCUGCUCGGAAAACUCAGUCGAACCUUAUCAUUUAGAGGAAGGAGAAGUCGUAACA